UACGUAGGGGGCGAGCGUUGUCCGGAUUUAUUGGGCGUAAAGAGCGUGUAGGCGGCCAGGUAGGUCCGUUGUGAAAACUCGAGGCUCAACCUCGAGACGUCGAUGGAAACCAUCUGGCUAGAGUCCGGAAGAGGAGAUUGGAAUUCCUGGUGUAGCGGUGGAAUGCGCAGAUAUCAGGAGGAACACCAAUGGCGAAAGCAAUCUCCUGGACGCAAACUGACGCUGAGAUACGAAAGCCAAGGUAGCAAACAGG
rnacentral:rRNA from 1 species